rnacentral:rRNA from 1 species
GAUGAACGCUGGCGGCGUGCCUAAUACAUGCAAGUCGAGCGAACCACUUCGGUGGUGAGCGGCGAACGGGUGGGUAACACGUAGGUGAUCUGCCCAUCAGACGGGGACAACGAUUGGAAACGAUCGCUAAUACCGGAUAGGACGAAAGUUUAAAGGUGCUUCUGGCACCGCUGAUGGAUGAGCCUGCGGCGCAUUAGCUAGUUGGUAGGGUAAAGGCCUACCAAGGCGACGAUGCGUAGCCGACCUGAGAGGGUGAACGGCCACACUGGGACUGAGACACGGCCCAGACUCCUACGGGAGGCAGCAGUAGGGAAUCUUCGGCAAUGGGCGAAAGCCUGACCGAGCAACGCCGCGUGAAUGAUGAAGGCCUCGGGUUGUAAAUUCUGUUAUAAGGGAAGAACGAC